AAUGAACGUUGGCGGCGUGGAUUAGGCAUGCAAGUCGUGGGAGAACCCGCAAGGGGGGAAACCGGCGAACGGGGUAGGACAACAUCGGUAACGUACCCUCAGGACGGGGAUAGCGGCGGGAAACUGCCGGUAAUACCCGAUGAUCUGGCGACACUGUGAUGGUUGCCAGCAAGGGUGUGAUUCCACCGGGGGGAGCGGCUGAUGCGCUAUUAGCUAGUUGGUGAGGUCAAGGCUCACCAAGGCGACGAUGGCUAGGGGGUNUGAGAGCAUCGGCCCCCACACUGGCACUGAGACACUGGCCAGACACCGUACGGGUGGCUGCAGUCGAGAAUCUUCGGCAAUGGGCGCAAGCCUGACCGAGCGACGCCGCGUGCGGGAU
rnacentral:rRNA from 1 species